GAUGAACGCUAGCUACAGGCUUAACACAUGCAAGUCGAGGGGUAACGAGAGGAAAGCUUGCUUUCCUUGUCGCCGACCGGCGCACGGGUGAGUAACGCGUAUCCAACCUGCCCCCAACUAGGGAAUAACCUUGCGAAAGUAAGACUAAUACCCUAUAAUUUCCUCAGAUGUCAUCUGACGAGGAAUAAAGAUUUAUCGGUUGUGGAUGGGGAUGCGUCUGAUUAGCUUGUUGGCGGGGUAACGGCCCACCAAGGCAACGAUCAGUAGGGGUUCGGAGAGGAAGGGACCCCACAUUGGAACUGAGACGCGGGCCAAACUCCUACGGGAGGCAGCAGUGAGGAUUAUUGGGCAAUGGGCGGAAGCCUGAACCAGCCAAGUAGCGUGCAGGAUGACGGCCCUAUGGGUUGUAAACUGCUUUUAUACAUGAAUAAAGUUAGCCACGUGUGGUUAUUUGUAGGUACUGUAUGAAUAAGGACCGGCUAAUUCCGUGCCAGCCGCCGCAGUAA
rnacentral:rRNA from 1 species